rnacentral:lncRNA from 1 species
GGGUGUGGAUGGAUGAAACAGACGUGGGCGGCUGGUGAUUAGGAGAGGCGAUGAACGAUGCCGUGGAGCGGCGGUGAGAGCUGACUCGGUGGAGUCGGCAUUUGAACGACCCCGCGUGCGUUGUCGGAGCGCACACGCACUUUGGCGCGGCCGACGGCGUGACUUUGGCCACAGUGGAGGAAACGGAGGACCUGGUCCUCCUAAAGGUCCGUGGCAAAGGAGUUCCCGGCUGCUGCUGGUGGAACUCGGGGCCGUGGUCGUGGUGGCGCUGCUGUUCCUUGCCUUCUCCCCCAGCAUCAACGAAGGUGGACGCCAUGCUACCGGCGAGGCUUCCUUAGCUGUCCAAGCUCGAGAUCUCAAACCGAAAACCGACCGUUCCGGCGCCACCGCAAUCCUUCUAACAAAACAGGAACUAAGGUAUAACACUAGAAGACGAAGACAAAGAAUGAUCACUCAAAAGAAGAGUCAUGGAGAUGAAACGAAGUCAAUACAGAACGGAGAACGGAGGAGGAAGGCAAGUGUCCCGGUGGCUGGAGAAGCCGAUGCGGCAAACUUGGUCCUUAUAGGCAACCUUCUUUCCCAUGUAGAUGGACCCUGUGGGGGCCCACGCUGGAUUCUAGGAUCGUAAUACAGGGUAUAAUAUAGGUUGUGGAUGUGCGUGGUCAUAACUAAGUACAGCUAAAACGCACGUCUCACCAGAAGAUUAAGGGGGACCCACACGCCGGUUUCUAAAGUGGGGAUCUAGUCGGAGACACGUGUGGUUGUGGGUGUUUCGGGUGACAGAAUGUGGGUCGGUUUGUCGCGACCCCGCACGGUGACGUAACCUCGCGUCAGAUAAACCAUUCACGUGGAUGGCGGCGGCAGCAAGACCUCGACUAACACUGAAAGCUAGAGCCCAAAUCGCGGCCCAAAAACAAUACGGGCUCAAUUCGACCCAUAGUAUACUCUUGGCCCAUCAAGAUCUCUCUCUCUCUCUCUCUCUCUCUCUCUCUCUCUCUCUCUCGCGAAGAUAGGUAAGGACAUGUCGGCGAGGGGGGCCUAAAUCCGGCGAAGGUUGGGCAGCGGUGCGUCGGGUGCUCGGCGACGGCGAUGGAGUAGGGCGGCGCGUGAGAUUUUGGUCAAAGAAGACCGUUCUUUGCUUCAGAAUAAACCGGUCGGCUUUUUCCGGUUCGUAUUGGUUCAACCCGACCGGAACGUUAGGGUCCAACCUCUGCAACUUCGAAAAACCCUCGCCUCGACGCCGCGCCCUAAAUCGCAAGGAGUGGUCGAAAACGAGUCGAAAGGAGAAGUGAUCGACACGAACAAUGGAAUUGGAGACUGCUGAGACUGAUGGUCAUCUCCGCGAGAGCAGCAGCCGGAAGAAGAGGAAGAGGAAGGAGGGUAAGACGAGGAUGACGACGAAGGAGGAGAAGAAUCCUACAGUCAGCAUCGCUGUUGCCGGCUUCAUAAUUG